rnacentral:lncRNA from 1 species
CUAUUCAAAAUUGAAUAUGCCAUUGAUAUGUGAAUUCAUACAAAUAUAAAUGAGUGCACAUUGUUCAAAAUGUAGUGACUCAACAUUUGUAGAGAUUUUCCUGAAUGAGCAUCAUCUACUCUGCUCAAGAUUUUUCCUUGAAGAAACUUAACUUCAUCUGCAAUCAUCUUGGAGUCUGGAUAGCCAUCCUUGAUAAUUCCUAUCCAAAGGGAAGUCAAAGCUUUAGAGUAUAAUUUUGACUGAGAACAGAGUCCUUUUUGCAGGUCUACUAUUCCAGAAGGAGAGAUAGAAACUGUAGAUCUGCCUGCUUGCUAGCACCAGGGAGUACUAUCAGGAGGAUCAGAGGAAAUUAUUUGGGAAGUGUGGCCUAGUUACUGAGAGCCAUCAAUAGCAUCACCUUCCUUCUUAGCUCUUUUUUGUUUUUUGCCUAACUGCUCCAAACAAUCACGCCCAUUGCAGACUAGAUUUACUAACAGAAGAGACAGAGGCAGACGACUAUACCAUCUAUGAUUAAGAAAUAUAACACCAGCUCCCUCUGUAGAUUUGCCAAAACUAUCAACUCUACAGCUGGGUGGAGAAACAGUCCUCUUGGAGAAAAAUUUUUUUGUCAUUGUAAUUCAUAUUGUCAUGAAAACUGGAGGGGAAAAAAAAGUGAUCAUCAUCUGGUUUACACACUAAUAACAGUUAUAGGGAAAAUUUUUGAGGUCAGUUUAACUGAGAACAUAAUCUUAAAUCUGGUUUGUUUCAUUUUUCGGAAUGAAAUCCAAAAAUAAAAAAACAGUAAAAAAUUCAAACAUUUUAUUAGGAACCGUUUUCCAUUGACAGUGUUUUGACUAUAAAGGCCAGUUGAUAGUUCGUUGGAAUGGGAAAGCAAAAGGAAAGGUACAUGUUCUAUUCCUUUUCUUUUGAAUGUCUAGCAGUUCAUAGUUGAAUGGAAUGAAGAAAGAAUGCACAUACUCUUUGUCAACUUUUGUUUGAGAUA